AGAAAUAAGAAAGCUGUACUUGACUUUCGCUCUGGUGCUUUUUAAGAUCAAACAGGAAUCUUAUACUCUUUCAUUGCCGUCUACAUUUCUUUUUUUUCUCCUGUCCUCUUUCUUUUUAAAUUCAGAUCAUUUAACGGAAGAGGUUCAUAGCUAAAAAUAAAUCUUCAUUGUACUGAGCUGCCUAUGAUGUCAUUUACUGUAUUCUUAGGUCUCCAGAGUCAACACUCCAGGCAUGUAGACACACACAGGAGAAUAAAACCUCAGUUCCCAGGCAGCUUCCAGAAGCUGUGGCAUUGCUGUGGCCUGAGGCCUGGACUUCCCCAGGGGAUAAGUAUCCAGAUCGUUUGUGCCCUUUCAUAUCACCUUUCAUUCAGCGGUCUUACCUGGAUUAGUAGCCAAGCACCUACCCAAAGAGAGCUCGUGGUGCAGAGGGAGAUGGACCUCAGGUAGCGGCAGCAGGCCGGGGACCGUGGCUUUUACACACUGCUUCACACACCCCUGUCCAGGAGUUUUACACACUCACUUAACAAACGGAAGUCACCAGCCAAUUCACUGGAGCCCCGCUGGAUAAAUAUGGAAAAAAUGUGGGAGCUAUGUCAUGAACCACAGUGGUUUUGCGUUCUGUGUAAUUUGAAGACGAGAUUCUUUUGCUAUGUGUCACCUCCCAUAUUACCACUGUCACCCAAUAUUUCGUAACCAUCAACUCUUUGCCAGUGCCCACAUGCAAAGAUGGGUUUGUAUUAAAAAAUAAAUGAGAACAGCACAUUC